GAUGAAGACGCAGCGAAAUGCGAUAAGUAGUGUGAAUUGCAGAAUUCAGUGAAUCAUCGAAUCUUUGAACGCACAUUGCGCCCCUUGGUAUUCCAUGGGGCAUGCCUGUUCGAGCGUCAUUUGUACCUUCAAGCUCUGCUUGGUGUUGGGUGUUUGUCUCGCCUCUGCGUGUAGACUCGCCUUAAAACAAUUGGCAGCCGGCGUAUUGAUUUCGGAGCGCAGUACAUCUCGCGCUUUGCACUCAUAACGACGACGUCCAAAAGUACAUUUUUACACUCUUGACCUCGGAUCAGGUAGGGAUACCCGCUGAACUUAAGCAUAUCAAUAAGCGGAGGA
rnacentral:misc_RNA from 1 species